AGUUCCAGUAGACUGUUAAAAGGUCAGUUCUGAUCAGCUAAAUGUCAGUGGUGCCUCUGUGUGUGAUUCAGAUCUAAGACCCUGAGAACCAUCAACUACUGACCAAGCAGGCUGAAAACUAGCUGCACAUGAAGAGAGUCACUCCGAGCCGGGUAGGCUGGGAUUUUAUUUUUUCCAGCCCAGGAUGGCCUUGAAGACACUGUGUAGCUGAGACUUACCUCAGACUUUGAUUCUCCUACCUCUACCUCCAGAGUGCUGGCAGGUACAAACAGAGCUCAUAGCCCCGCCACCACCACCACCACCACCACCACCACCACCACCACCGCCACCACCGAGCCACCACCACCUCCACUCCAGCAGCAAGCCCAGGUAUGUCCCAGAGGAAGCUGGAGAUCUCAGAUGUCAAAUUAACUCCUAAGUAAUGAUCUAUGUUGAGACCCCAAACUCUCUCCAGAGCCUUGUACACACCCAACUUCUACUCUCUUAUGGUUGAGAUCUUGAAUAUCUUCCCUAAACAUCCAUGCCCCAAAGGCACCAUUGGGAGGUGGUUGUCUAUUUAAGAGGUGGGACUUGGUGGAAGGAAAUUAAAUCAUUGGGAGUGUGCCCCUGGGGUGGGGUCUCACAUUUUCCUCAAGUUUGUUACUUGCUCCCGGGCUGCCGGAAGGUAAUUAGCUUUGCUAUGCACAGAGAUGUAACUCAGAAAGCAAGGACUAAAAACUCUGAAACUAUAAACCAAUGUAAACCAUU